UAAAAGAUCUAGUAGCCAUCUGACAUCAUAUACCCUGCAUAGUUAUUACAAUAUUAUUGACUAUAUUUCCUAUGCUGUAUCUUACAUCCCUGUUACUAUUUUGUAGCUACCAUUUUGUAUUUUUUAAUCCCUUCACCAUUUUCAU